rnacentral:lncRNA from 1 species
GGGAGCUUAGAUGUGGAAGCUCUUUGGAAACCAAGAAACACUCUGAAAAUGAAAAGGGUGGAAGAGUAAACUGUUCCUGUUUCUCCAUCUUGACAGGAAGCAGAAGUUCUCCUUAGCUGAUUUUUCUUCUUGCCUUAUACUGGGUUCUUUAACACCAGAACAAAAAUAAAUAAAUAAAAGAAUCUUCCAGAAAUUCAUGAAGAGACUUCAGGUCAGGAAAGCCUGAACUUUCUCAUCCAACACCCGUUCAAGUCGGAGGAUGCUGAUUAAUUCAUGAUGGAAAGGUAUCAAUUUCACAGCCCAGACCUCUACAUUCUUGAAAUGCUCUUCUCAUGGGAGACAUUAAAUAAGCUUUGAAUUAACUUAAGCCCUUAAGUAAAAGUGCCAUCAAAUGAUUUCUCAGAAAUUAUAAAGAAACAAAAGGACCAUAAACAAGAUAAGGUGGCAUGAGGAAACAUUACAAGUACCUUUCAGAGCUGACUGGCAAAGAAACUCCUGAGGUGACGGUUCUACCCCAAUAUUACUUCUUCGAAGAGCAACCUAACUGACCUUGUAUUGAAGACAGCGUAACCCCCAAGAGGAAAGGAGCUUGGAGCCCUGAAUCAGAGUAGAAGACAGGCUGAAUGAAUACCAGCCUUGGACUGUUGUGUGAAUGAAAAACAAGUUUUGAGAUUUGUGUGGUUUA